GUGCCAGCAGCCGCGGUAAGACGUAGGGUGCAAGCGUUGUCCGGAUUUACUGGGCGUAAAGAGCGCGUAGGCGGUCUGUUAAGUGAGAAGUGAAAUCUCCAGGGCUCAACCCGGAAACUGCUUUUCAUACUGGCAGACUUGAGGGAUGCAGAGGUAUGUGGAAUUCCUGGUGUAGCGGUGAAAUGCAUUGAUAUCAGGAGGAACACCCAUGGCGAAGGCAGCAUACUGGGCAUCAUCUGACGCUGAGGCGCGAAAGCGUGGGUAGCAAACAGGAUUAGAUACCCCUGUAGUCC
rnacentral:rRNA from 1 species